rnacentral:rRNA from 1 species
AUUGAACGCUGGCGGCAGGCUUAACACAUGCAAGUCGAGCGGAGAUGAGGUGCUUGCACCUUAUCUUAGCGGCGGACGGGUGAGUAAUGCUUAGGAAUCUGCCUAUUAGUGGGGGACAACAUUCCGAAAGGAAUGCUAAUACCGCAUACGUCCUACGGGAGAAAGCAGGGGAUCUUCGGACCUUGCGCUAAUAGAUGAGCCUAAGUCGGAUUAGCUAGUUGGUGGGGUAAAGGCCUACUAAGGCGACGAUCUGUAGCGGGUCUGAGAGGAUGAUCCGCCACACUGGGACUGAGACACGGCCCAGAAUCCUACGGGCGGCAGCAGUGGGUAAUAUUGGAAAAAGGGGGGAACCCUGAUCCAGCCAUGCCGCGUGUGUGAAGAAGGCCUUAUGGUUGUAAAGCACUUUAAGCGAGGAGGAGGCUACUGAGACUAAUACUCUUGGAUAGUGGACGUUACUCGCAGAAUAAGCACCGGCUAACUCUGUGCCAGCCGCCGCCGUAACAC